AAGGUUUGAGGUGCAGAUUCUGACUCAGGUUGAGGUUCAGAUUCUGCUUCUGGUUGAGGUUCAGAUGUUUGGGGUGAAGCAUAAAGAGGGUUUAAAUCUAAAGGUUCAGAUUCUGGUUCUGGUUCAGCGGAGAUGUUUGGUGGGUUGAUAUCAGAAGUGGGAUGGUCAGAGGGUUGGUUUUCAGAAGGUAUGGUGGUUGUUUGUUGUGGUGGAGG
rnacentral:lncRNA from 1 species